AUAAACUUUAGCGAAGUGUAUAUUCGUUUCGUUGGUAAUGCUGUUUAUGAAAAUAUCGAUAUUGGAAAAAUGGUUGGACAAUUCGAAAACCAUAAAGCGUCCCAUUAACCGGACGGUCCGCAUCUUUUUUAAGGUACCGUAUGAUUAAAUUGGAGAAUUCUUAACAGCAAACAAGUGUUGUAUGUGAAAAACACCUCAUUUUGGUAAAACCACCAGGUUUUAACGAUACACUCGGAAUUGAAAACCCCUCGAAUUUAUAAUAAGUAUUAUCUUAGGCGGGUCGGGUCUAUCACGAACGGGCACGACCCGCGCAAUUUGAUUUGGACAUAUUUGCCACUGUAUUCGCGGUUGUAUUAUUUUAAAAUUAAUAUUGUUUACGUGACUAGUAAAAAACCCCGUGCGUAACAGAGCUGCUUCACUAGAGUCGAAUUUUCCCUCGGUCGACUUGUCGUUCCGAGUCUGUGAAUAUUUAAAACCCGGUGUUUUCAAUGAAAAACAUGAAAUUCGACCGCAGAAAUGAUCGGGGAGGGCGAUGAAUAUCGAAUCCCCCAAAAGGCACAUUAUCCUUGAUCCUUAUACUAUGCAUAAACAAUAUUUCAUCUCCCUGGCUUCAUCGGAGGUCCGUGGGUACGUGCAAAGUUGAAAAAAUAAAACCCGGACAACACGGUGAAAUUGAAUGAAAAUUUUAUAAUUUUCUUC